GUAGGUGGCAAGCGUUGUCCGGAAUUAUUGGGGCGUAAAGCGCGCGCAGGCGGUCCUUUAAGGUCUGAUGUGAAAGCCCACGGGCUCAACCGUGGAGGGUCAUUGGAAACUGAGGGACUUGAGUACAGAAGAGGAAAGCGGAAUUCCACGUGUAGCGGUGAAAUGCGUAGAGAUGUGGAGGAACACCAGUGACGGAGGCGGCUUUCUGGUCUGUAACUGACGCUGAGGCGCGAAAGCGUGGGGAGCAAACAGGAUUAGAUACCCUGGUAGUCCACGCCGUAAACGAUGAGUGCUAAGUGUUAGGGGGUUUCCGCCCCUUAGUGCUGCAGCUAACGCAUUAAGCACUCCGCCUGGGGAGUACGACCGCAAAGGUUGA
rnacentral:rRNA from 1 species